AUUGAACGCUGGCGGCAGGCCUAACACAUGCAAGUCGAGCGAGUGGCGGACGGGUGAGUAAUGUAUGGGGAUCUGCCUUAUGGAGGGGGAUAACUACUGGAAACGGUAGCUAAUACCGCAUACCAUCAGCUGAACCCAUGUGGGAUUAGGUGGUAGGUAAGGUAAAGGCUUACCUAGGCGACGAUCCCUAGCUGGUCUGAGAGGAUGAUCAGCCACACUGGGACUGAGACACGGCCCAGACUCCUACGGGAGGCAGCAGGGGGGAAUAUUGCACAAUGGGCGCAAGCCUGAUGCAGCCAUGCCGCGUGUAUGAAGAAGGCCUUCGGGUUGUAAAGUACUUUCAGUCGGGAGGCGUUACCGACAGAAGAAGCACCGGCUAACUCCGUGCCAGCAGCCGCGGUAAUAC
rnacentral:rRNA from 1 species